CGAAAGUCUGACGGAGCAACGCCGCGUGAGUGAUGAAGGCUUUCGGGUCGUAAAACUCUGUUGUUAGGGAAGAACAAGUACGAGAGUAACUGCUNGUACCUUGACGGUACCUAACCAGAAAGCCACGGCUAACUACGUGCCAGCAGCCGCGGUAAUACGUAGGUGGCAAGCGUUAUCCGGAAUUAUUGGGCGUAAAGCGCGCGCAGGCGGUUUCUUAAGUCUGAUGUGAAAGCCCACGGCUCAACCGUGGAGGGUCAUUGGAAACUGGGGAACUUGAGUGCAGAAGAGAAAAGCGGAAUUCCACGUGUAGCGGUGAAAUGCGUAGAGAUGUGGAGGAACACCAGUGGCGAAGGCGGCUUUUUGGUCUGUAACUGACGCUGAGGCGCGAAAGCGUGGGGAGCAAACAGGAUUAGAUACCCUGGUAGUCCACGCCGUAAACGAUGAGUGCUAAGUGUUAGAGGGUUU
rnacentral:rRNA from 1 species